AUUAUUUAUAUGCUUAGAAGGAGCAAUCACGUGACACCAAUAAAAGGAAUCCAGCCAGUAGCAUCUUGACACAUCAUCAAAUAAAAAAAUAAAAAACUGUAGCACCCAUGUAUAUUAAAGAAAGGCUGGUCACGUGUGCUGAUGCAUGCUGACGUCAUGUGCGUUGUAAGCCAAAAUCGUGCCGUGAUCGGAAUAGCACAGGGACGCGAAAAUUACAGGAGCUGAAGGCGUGUCAAUGUUUAAAACUUUGGAAAUUUUCUAAGUAUUUUUCCUUUUUUUUUUCUUUGUCUUCAAACAUCUUGCUAUUGUAAUUUCUUCAAAUAAUCUUCUUUUUGACCAUGUAUUACUCCUAAAAAUCACUAAAAUUCUAUAAAAUAAUAAUUAAAAUACUCAAAUGACCGACUGUCAUCAACUGUGGAAUAUAAAUAAUAAGGCUGACAGCUUGUGGAUUCGUUGGAUCCAUAGCUAUUAUAUUAAACAGGACGAAUUGAUGAAUAUGCCCGUGAAGCAGACAUGUUCUUGGAUUCUUAAGGCAAUCCUUAAACAAAGGGAGUCUCUCCUACAGAUACCAGGUUGGAUCAACAUGACGAGUAAGACUAUCCAAAAGAAAGUUUAUCUUCUAUUGAAGGAGGAAUAUCCUGUUGUAUAUUGGAG
rnacentral:lncRNA from 1 species